UAGGGAAUCUUCGGCAAUGGACGAAAGUCUGACCGAGCAACGCCGCGUGAGUGAAGUAAGGUUUUCGGAUACGUAAAACUCUGUUGGUAGAGAAGAACGUUGGUGAGAGUGGAAAGCUCAUCAAGUGACGGUAACUACCCAGAAAGGGACGGCUAACUACGUGCCAC
rnacentral:rRNA from 1 species